CACUCCAAAUUUUUCAGUCAAGUUCCGCCAUUGACAAUAGAUCAUACUUUAUUUAAUAUAGUAAGUGGGAAACAAAAUAAUUCAUAGAUGCAUGUUUCUAGUUUUCAUGGAGAUUCCAUGUUUCAAUGUCCUCUUUUCCUAGGUUUAUUACCAUUUUCUCCUUCACCUUUGUCUCCGUUAUCGUGGUUUCCUCCAUUGUCGUCUUCUUCAACGGGUGGCUCACUAUCGUGGUAUCCCAUGCCACCAAAGUUGUAUAUCAUGCUCUGUACCCAUUCUGAUGCCCAACCCAAUGCCAAAUCUCUCAAAGUUCUCCAAUCUACAAACCUUCUUAUUAAAGUACUAUAUUCGGAUUGCUCAGCUGCCACAAUAGUCAUAAGAAGGGGAACACAUAGAAAGAAUACUAAGAUAAAAAAUUUUGUUUUCAUCCCUUGCUUAAAUUUCUUAAAGUUUCUUGUAAAAUAUGAAUAAUAUCCUCAAAUAUUUAUAGUGAUCACGCAUAGAAAAAAUAAGAUAAUUUUAAAAGACAAAAACAUAUUGAAGAAAAUUAUAUUGCGUACUAAAAAAAAAGACAAUAUGUAUUCUAUGGCCAAUUGCGAAGACAAUGGGUCAUCAAGAUCCAUAGAGCCAUGGAAAAGUUAAAUAAAUUAGAACAUGUUUGCCUUUUGGAUCAUGAUAAUUUGACGAUCAAAGAGACGUUUUAUCCAAUUAAUCUUUUCUAAAAAGUUGCUUUUGGUAAAAUUGUUUCAGAAAAUAGAAUUUAAAACUAGGGAGUUGUAAAAUUUGACUUCCUAAUAAAUUUAGGAUUAAAGUGAUGUAAUGUCCAAUUAAUUCUAAAUGAAUGAUUUAUUUUGACUAUUAAAUGUUUUAAUAUUGGAAUAUUAAAUUUUUAGUAUCUAAAAAAUUUUGAAAUUUUAAUUUUAGUACUUAUUAAAAAAAAUUAUAUUUUUUAGUUUCUACAAAAUUGUUAUGUAAACAGUUUAAUUUAUACCAUAUUGGAACAUCAAUAUAAAUAUUUAAAUACUUUUUUUUUUGCAUACAUGCUGACAUUAUAAAAAGUUCAACAUAAAAAAUGAUAUCAAAAUUCAAUUUCUAGAUCUAUAUUUUAAAGACUUUUAUCUUAAAUAGACGACGUUUAAUUAAUUCAUCCCAAAUUAAAAAAAAAUUAUAUGAAUUAAUUUUUAAUAAUAUUCUAAACAUGCUUACAAUAUUAUUCAAAUAUUUAAAAGUUGAAGAAUAUUUUAUUUCAUCAGAGACUAAAAUAAUUUGAUUAAUAAUUUUAUAGGAAUUAAAAAAAAUGUAUGCAUACAUAAAAAAAUAAAAAAUUAUCAUCUUGGUUCUAAGAACACAACUAAAACAAAUCAAACGAUAACUUCUCGUUUUGAUUAUGAGUUAUAUUUGGUAUUUGUAAUAUUUUAUUUUAUUUUUACAUCUUACCUUAUUAUGAGUUGAUAUAAUUAUUCUGUAAAUUAUUGGUGAUAAUUAUUAUUGUAAUGUGUUAUUUUAAUUUUUAAUAAUAAUAAUAAUAAUAAUAAUAAUAAUAAUAAAAAAGGGAAUCGUUAAAAACAAAUUUCAGACGCUGGAAAUACACGUUUCCCAUUUAAUAUCACGUUUUCUAUUUAAUACCAUCCCUUUAAUACACGUCCCCAUAUAAUAACACACGUUACCCACUUCUAAUGAUAAAAAAGGAAUAAAACAAAACAUAAAAAGAAAUAAAACAAAAACGGGUUUCAGGGAGAAAAAGAAAGAAAUUCAAGAACUAAAUGAGUUACUGAUUCAUCCCUCAAGUAUAACACAUUUGAAGCAAAGACCACUGCGUGAAAAUUUUAAUUACGACACUCAUAUUGAUAAGGGGCAUGACUCCAUCCGCUUUUCUAAUUGAAUUAUUGUUUGUGUGUUAUAUUCGAAAUGAAUAUUAAUAAUUGUUGUGUUUGACAUGUUCAAAAUGUGGAAAAUAAAUGUUAUGUGAUAUGUUGUUAUAAUGGUUGUGUUGAGCAUAUUCAUAGUGUGAAGAAUAAAUGUUAUGUGAUAUGUUGUUAUAAUGGUUGUGUUGAACAUAUUUAAAGUGUGGAAAAUAAAUGUUAUGUGAUAUGGUGUUAUAAUGUUGUGUUAAACAUAUUCAAAGUGUGAAGAAUAAAUGUUAUGUGAUGUGUCGUUGAUAAGUUAGUAUCGCAUUAUAUUUUAUUAGAGUGUACACGAAGCCCUUGCGGGGGAAGCGAUAUUUCGGAAUCAUUAUAUAGAUUAAGUAAUAAGGUUUGUUGGAUAUGCAUUAAUUAAACUGUAGUGUGACUAGUGUUUUGUAAAGAUAACUGAUACAUUGUAUCUCCUGGUUUUUGUGAAUUAAAGUUAUAAAAAAUGUGAUAUUGUAUCUCCUGGUUUUGAGUGAAUUAACGUUAUUAAAUAUGUGAUAGUGUACUUCUAUAUCUUAUUAUUAAUUAGGUAGAUAUGGUAAUGUUAUAUUUGUAUUGUCAAUGUGGUUAGUCGUUUGAGUGAAUUAAUGUUAUUAAUUAUGCAAACAUUGUACUGUUAUCUUUUCAUUGUUAUUAUAUCUUUAAUGCGUUGUGAUUUUUAAUUGUUAAAUGGAGUACAUGAUUUACUUAUAUUUUUGCUAUAACAACUAUAUAUGCAUGCAUAUUUGCUAUGUGUUUGUUAUUUUGAGAUGACCCUUAUAUUUGACAGGACGUUACAUAUAGUGCUAUGUGUUUGUUAUAUUUUCAUUGUUAUUAUACCUAUUGGUGCGUUUUGAUUUUUAACUGUUAAAUGAAGUACAUGAUUUAUUUAUAUUUUUGCUAUGAUAUCUCUAUAUGCAUGCAUAUUUGCUAUGUGUUUGUUAUUUGGAGUUGACCCUUACAUUUGACAGACUUGUUGGGUUAGCUUACCAAAAGUCCGAAGUUUAUGACCAACUGAAUUUAUGCUUGGGUAGUAAAAUAUCAACAGUUUUGGCUAUAGGAGUCUCUUUUGUUUAAUAUAUUAAAUUUAAAUUGUAAAUAUUUUGAUUCUUUAUUUUUGAAAAUAUAACUAAAAAUAUUAUUAAAUGAUUUUAAGAUAAAUGAGUAUUUAAAAUAAUUACAAAUGAAUAAAAGCAAAUUUGUAUUUUUACGUAUAGAAUUUUGUUAGUUAAUGUCCCGAAAAAGCAGGAUGUUAGUCUUGGUUAGCAUCCUUCUAAUCUGCUGUUGGGGAAUUCCUUGUGCCUUCAUUUUAUUGAAUGGAUUUUUCUUUGUCCGAAGAAGAACAAACCAUUGUUGAGUGUUUGCCGUUAUAACCAAUUAUUAAAAUAGAGUAAUAUUAAUGGAAAUGCACAAUUGCUCCUGCGAUCCCUUAACUUAAUUUUAGAUAACACUUUAAUUUUUUUUAAUUGGUCUUUUAUUUAAUAUUAUUACAAAAAUUCGAAAAUAUAAAGAAUGAAAAUAUGAGUUUAUUUAAAGAUUUAAGAUAUUUCAUCGACGUUGUUUCCAUAAAUUAUGAUCUCAUCAACAUAUAUCACUAAGGCAGUAAAGGACGAGCAAAUGGAUUUAAUGAAUAAAGAAUGAUAUGAAUUAGAUUGAGUAUACUCUUUUGAAAUGAGAGUGGAGGAAAGUCUAGCAAACCAUUGCUUACUAGACUAUUUUAAACCAUAAAGAGGUUUUUGAAGUUUACAAACAAUAUUUGGAUUAUGAGCCAAUAACCCAAGUAACAAUUGCAUAUAGACUUCCUCUUCUAAAUUGCCAUGUAAAAAAGCAUUGUAAACGUCUAACUUAUGAAAAUGUCAAUUAUGAGAUGAUACAAGAGCAAGUAAGAGUCUUACGAUAAUGAGCUUAGCUAAAGUGAAUAAGUAUCAAAAUAAUCAAUUCCUUCAAUUUGGUUAAAACAUUUGGCAACAAGGCGUGCCUUAUAAUGUAUUAUAGAACCAUCAGCGUUAUAUUUUACCUUAUAAACCCAUCGACAACCUAAGGGCUUUUUAACACGUGGCAACUUAGUAAGAGUCCAAGUGUUGACUGAUAGAUUGCAUGGUCUGAACCUAAUUAUUAUAUGUGACAACUUGUUUAAAGCUAGUAGGGUCACGAACAACAGAAAUAAAGGAAAUAAAAUGAUAGAAAAAUUAUGACAAUUUUGACUAAGAUAAGACCUGGUAUAAACGAACAACAGAAAUAAAGGAAAUAAAAUGAUAGAAAAAAUAUGACAAUUUUGACUAAGAUAAGACCUGGUAUAAAUGAUACAAUAUAUUGGACUUAUGGCACCUAUCAUGUGCAAAAUUUCACUCAAAAUCUUGUAAGUAAGCAGGGACCUUGUUAGACCUUGAAGACCUACGAAUAGUAUCUUGAUGCUCAUCAAAAUCAAAGAUAGGGGAAGUAUGUAAAUUGUUGGGACUAGUAUCAAGACUAGAUGAAGGAGUUGGAGCAAAUAUAAUACUAUCAUCAGUGGAGUUAUUAACAUAAACAAUUAUUAGGCAAAAGCAUAUUAGUAUCAUCAAACAGAAUAAAGGAAUCGUGAGAAUCAUCAUUAAUAUGCAAGGAAGUAGAAUUAAGAUUAACAUAUGGAAAAACAUAUUCAUAAAAAUCUACAUUCCUAGAAACAAAGGUGACAUGGGUAUGUAAAUCAAACAUCAAAUAACUUUUAGUUCCUUAUCUAAAUCCAAGGAAAAUACACUUGGUGGCCCUUGGAUAAAGUUUAGUGCUAUAAUCACUACGCGAAAAAACGCAUUUUACAGCGCUUUUUUUAAGCCAUUUACAGCGCUUUUUCAAAAAAAUAAGCGCUGUGGAAACGAGCGCUGUAAAUGAUACAACAACGCUUUUAAAAAAGCGCUAUAAAACAUGUAAAUACAACGCGCGCUUGUUAUGCACAUUUUACAGUGCUUCUUCACAAAAAGCGCUGUAAUAUGCACCCCAUUAUAUGAGUUAUGGGUGUUCAUUUUACAGCAAAGCGCUCUAAAAUGCACACCCAUAACUCAUAUAAUGGGGGGCAUAUUACAGCGCUUUCUCAAACAAGCGUUGUAAUAUGCCCAACCAUAAUUUCAUAUAUGGGUGGGCAUAUUACAGCGCUUUUUUGAGAAAGCGCUGUAAAAUGCCCACCCAUAAUUUCAUAUAUGGGUGUGCAUAUUACAGCGCUUUCUCAAAAAAGCGCUGUAAAAUGCCCACCCAUAAUUUCAUAUUAUGGGUCUGCAUUUUACAGCGCUUUUCUUGUACAUUUUACAGCGCUUUCUCACGAAAGCGCUGUAAAAGGUGCACCAUUAAAGCGCUUUAGAACAACAUUUUACAGUGCUUUGUAAAAAAAGCGCUGUAAAAUGUGUGUUUUUUUUUUUUAAACGUUGUAAAUUAAUUAUUUGAAACGAAAAACGCUUUUUAGCUUUUUAUGGCAUUUUUUUUAAAAAGCGCUGUCUUUUAUCUUUGUAUCCAAAAUUAUUUUGAUCCAAAAUCACUUCACAAUCAGUGCACACAACAACAAAACAUAUUCAAAUACCAUAAGCAGUUCACACAAUCAGUAGAACAGAAAUCAGAACUCUGUAACUUUAUUAAUAUAUAUGUAACUCUGUAACUCUGUAAUUUACAACCUAAUUAACUACAUUCAGAUACGUAUAUAUAUAUAACCUAAUUUACAACCUAAACUACAUUCAGAUCCAUAUGCAUGUUCAUAUAUUGUGUCCUAUGAUCAUUUACAUAUAAUAACUAACAGAAUAUACAUUAUAUGCACUAGCUACCAUAUAAUAUUCAGAUCCCUUGCCCAGCAGCAAGCUAUUUCCCAGAAAAUCAAAUAAUUUUCAUGUCAAGCACGUACUGACACCAUUCUUCCUUUAAUUCCAUCAGAUCUUCCUCAGAAUAUGAUGGACUGGAAUUGGCAAAGUACUGCAAUAUAAAAAUUGAACAUAUUAUAUUAAGUUAGUAUCAAAUAUAUAGAUAAUUUAUAUAUGAAAAUCAUAUAAUGCAAAUACCGUACCGUUUCUGGGAUAAUAGUUUUAUUCUUCUCAACAAUCUCCUUCAUGAAUCUCAAUACGUAGUACCCACAGUCGAUGUUAUUUGUUUGACGAGGGCACUUUAUUGAGAUCCAUGUAAUGUUAUUAGACUUCUGCUUCGACACUUUAGCACCUCUUUGAGCUCGAUAAACUUUUAAGGCACUAUCGAAUGAAUAAAUGUGAUUAUUAGAGCAUGAAUAUUUAAAUAUAUAUAUAUGUAAGAAAUAAAUGAAUAUUACUUACGUGUCGAGCAUAUUCUUUAUUCCGGGGUGAUUGGUGUAAUCGCCGUGCACGGGAUCCAAAUAGUAUAUCACUUCAGAGACCGCAUUGAUUGCAAAUAGCACCCAAUGUGCCCUACAACAACAAAAAAUUGGUUAAGCAAUUUUGUUUAUAGACAACUAAUAAAUUAAAUUCUCAUCAAUUAAAAAAGAUAAAAUUACGUACCCUGAAUUAUAUGGUGCCAAGAACAAUUUAUCACUUUCUUUAUUUCUUAAAAACAUAUCUACAAUGUAGUGUUUUACAUUGUCUGGAUCGAGUUUGAACAUCGACAUCUUAUGCGGAGACAAGAAUGAGUAUUUAUUUGACAGUUUCCUCGUGCACACGACCUUCUCGUACAAAAACCUUCAAUGAAAAUUUUAAACUAGAUUAAUUACCAAUACAUUUAAUUAAUUACAAAUAAAUGCAAUUAAAAGUAUUUUUUACCUUAUGUACAAGCUGAUUACAGUAACACUCAGCUCCUUAUGUUCGAGAAGAUCGUACAUUUGCUCCUUUUCGAGGUAUUCAAUAUACUCAUCUCCAAAGAUGUCUUGAUUCAUUUGUACAAUGGGCGAAUCGUUGCUGCUGCCCAUGUUCCUUUUUAUUUGGAUGUCAAGACACGCCCCGUAUUUACCAAGGCGUGGCUGACUUUUAUUAGGAGCAGCAGCAGCAGCGACCGAUUUUCCCCGAUCCAGAUUUUUUGUUGCUGCAAGUUUUGCAGCUUUAUUACCCUCCAGCCUUUGUAGUUUGGCAGCCCUAUUAACCUCCAAUUUUUGAGGUCUGCUGCCUUUUUUUGGCUGUAGGGGUGGUUUAUUUAUUUGGACCUACAAAAAUGAGGUAAAAUGUUAGUUUAUUGAAUCUGAAAAAAUAAAAAACCUUAGGCAAUAAAUGUGACAAACCUUUUCGGGAGAUGUAACUGAUUUGUCCUUGGGAAUCUUUUUUUCGAGGGCAACAAGGUGUGUGGGCCAUGCCACGUAACUGCCAAUAGCGUCGCUUAAGAACUUCAUAUCUCCAUCGUUGUCCGGUAUGGGCAACGGUGCAGUUGGUUCGAAAGCAACCGUAGGCGAUACUUUGACAUGGCCCGCGGGGAUCGGAAUAUUGUGCAAUACUUCUCCCGAAGUAUUGUGCAAUAUUCCUUUUCCCACCUUCCGUUGAGUCGGCGAGGACAAGUAUAGGACACAUGUAGUGACACCCUACAUCAAUAGUUAAAACAUAAGUACAGUUAAUAUAUAAGUUUGUUUAAUACAUAAGUAAUUACAUAAGCAAGUAAGUAGUAAGUAAUUAAUUACCUCGGGAAUACUCUUCAAACCGACGUUGCAACUCCCGGUUUCACUCUCCAUUUGUAUUUCAGGUUGGAGCUGAACCGGAAGUUGCUUGUCUUUAUUCGUAUUCACCAAGAGUGCCACUUGCUCCGAUAAGAUUCUGAGCUUCUCUAAUACUUCCUCGUUGGAAGGUUUUUGGCGCUUCUCUUGAGGAAAAAAGCUUUUGGGAGUUACGCCAAAUCCUUUCCCCCUCACUCGACCGGAAUACUCAGGGACAUUAAACACUUUCCCAAGAAUGUCCCUGCACGUAUCCUUGUUGCCCUCUUGAGUUUCAGAACUUUGUUCAAUAGUUUCCUAAAAUACAUGUAACAUUAAAAAGAUAAGUUCAAUAGCAUUUUUAAAAUACAAUAUUAAAAAAUAUUAAAGUGAUAAUAUACUUACACAAAGUUCUACAACUUUCUUGACAUUUUCAUUAUCAACCACUCCUUCUUUGUUAACACGCGCUUCCUUCCAUAAGAUAUGACGACCCAAGGGUUGAUCGGCUUGGGUGUCUUUUCUCUAUUCGUUAAAAUCAUAAACAAAAUAAUACAAAUUAGUUACACACUAUAGUUUAUAAUACAAAUUACAAGUGAUGUUUAAUUACUUACAAUUUUUUGUUCAAGGCGUGCAUAUCCCAUACGUGAUUUCUUGUAUGGGUGUUUUGGGUUGCUUGCCCGUUCGCGAUUUGCCGUACUAAUAUUCUAUAUAAAAAAAAAAUUGCAAUUGUGUAAAAAUUUAAAAUACGCUACGAAUAUGAAUAAUAAAACACAAAUGCUAAUAAAUUAAUAACUUACGACAAACGCCGGGUCAGAACGUUUGGAAACAAAUGCACUCCAUUCAUCCUUUGAUAUAUAAUGUUGAUAUAUCUUUGGAGGUUCAGCAUUUGUGUUUCCUUCUCUAUCUUUUAGAUAGAAAUUUGAGAGAUGGGAUCUAAAUCCACGAUGGAUUUUCCCAGCAACUCUCAAAACAUAUGACUUUCGUUCCUCAUCAAGAACAAAAGUGGUCUGCAAUGAAAACAAUUAUAAGUAAUGUAUUUUACAGAAAAAAAAUUAUAAAUGACAAAAGAGUAGAUCAAAAUAUUUACUUGAAUGUCAUUCCAGAUGAUAUCUUUGGCAUCCUUCAACGCCUUAUCUCUCCAGUUGUCUAUUGUUAUUGGGACAUUUUGACGAACAACAGCCCCAAUGUAGCUUACAAACAUGGAGCUGUUGGGGUCAACUGGCUGACCACUCUCGUUCCAGCCAACCUAAUAAACUCAUAUAGUAAGUACAUGCCCUAAACCCUAAAAAAAGAUAAAAAAACACACAGCAAACAGAGUAUAUAUAGUAUACCUCAAAUUUAAUGCCACUGCUCCGUGCUUUAAUCACCCUUUGCAUGAUAGUUGCACCACGUUUGACUUCUUUUUCGUAAGUCUUAGAGGUGCCAACUUCUUCAUUUUGAACUUCUAAAUCUUUGUUUGUAUCCAUUUAACUACAACAAGUUCAACAUGCACUUUAGUAUAACAUCAACAAGCUCAACAUGGAUCAUGCAUUAUUAUAAACAAACUCAACAUGUAUCAGUAUAUCUUAAAAAAGCUCAACAUGCAUUUUAAUGAUUACAAAAAAUUUAUAACAUCAAUACCUGAAUAAUGGUUCGAAGAAAGAUGAAAUCUAAAGAAAAGAGGGAACGCAGAAAGUUCACAGAAAUAUGGUUCAAAGAAAUAGGAUAUUGAAGAAAUACGUAAUGAGGGUUACGUAUUUCAAUGAAAAUAUAUUGUGUGAAAUGGGAGAGAUGAUCUUGGAUGGAAAUAAGGUUCGAAAUGAAGGAGAUGAUCGUGGAAAUAAGGUUCGUAAAGGACGGGAUGAUAGGGUUUGCAAAAGAAGAGAAGAAAUGAAGGUUGAGAUGACAAUACCUGAAUAAUGAUGGUUCGAAGAAAGACGAAAUGCAAAGAAAAGAGGGUUUGCAGAAAGUUCACAGAAAUAUGGUUCAAAGAAAAGAGGGAACGGUAUUGAAGAAAUACGUAAUGAGGGUUACGUAUUUCAAUGAAAAUAUAUUGUGUGAAAUGGGAGAGAUGAUCUUGGAUGGAAAUAAGGUUCGAAACGAAGGAGAUGAUCGUGGAAAUAAGGUUCGUAAUGGACGGGAUGAUAGGGUUUGCAAAAGAAGAGAAGAAAUGAAGGUUGAGAUGAUAGUGAAAGACCUCCUUGUGUUAUUAUGUUAUUUGAAUACCUUUUACAGCGCUUUUACACAUAAGCGCUCUAAAAUGUCUCUUUAUCUUAAUUUUAAGAGGCUCUUUUACAGCGCUUUUCCCAAAUAAGCGCUGUAAAAGAACUCCGUGUGUUAUUAUGUUAUAUGAAUGUUUUUUAAAGCCUUUUACAGCGCUUUUCCACAUAAGCGCUCUAAAAUGUCUCUUUAUGUUAAUUUUAAAAGGCUCUUUUACAGCGCUUUUUCCAAAUAAGCGCUGUAAAAGGCCUUAUUGUUUUUGUGUUUUGUUAUGUUAUGUUAUUUUUUAAACAAGCUCAACAUGCAUGCAAAACCCACAUAGUAGUAACUGGUCACCACAAAAAUCCCUUCCUCUUCACCAAACUCUUCUCCUUUUAUGCAUCUUCUUCACAAACAUCAAAGCUUACUCUUUCACAAUUCAAUCUCCACCUCAACACCCUUUUUAUCUCUUUACAUUCUCUUUCCUUCUUAAAUCGAAACUUAAUUGGUAUUCAGGAUCAUUGCCAUGUUGCGAAAAAUGGGUUUGUGUCUGGUGUUUUUGGGGAUUCCCAUGAUGCGUACAAGGUGUUUGAAGAAAUGGGUUUGUGUCUGAUGUUUUUUGGAUUCCCAUGAUGCGUACAAGGUGUUUGAAGAAAUGGGUUUGUGUCUGAUGUUUUUUGAAUCCCAUGAUGCGUACAAGGUGUUUGAAGAAAUUAGGUGUCUGAUGAAUAUUAUUUUUAAAGCCAUUUUACAGCGCUUUGGCAAACAAGCGCUGUAAAAUGUCUUUUUUACUCACUUUCAAAAGAGUCGUUUACAGCGCUUUGUGUGAAAAGCGCUGUAAAAGGUAUAAAACACUCAUUAUUUUAUUUUUAAAAGGAUCUUUUACAGCGCUUUUUAAGAUAAGCGCUGUAAAAUGUCUCUUUAUUUUAUUUUUGUGUUUGGUUUAUUUGGGUUGGGAUGACAUUAAAAACAUUUUUAUCAUUGUUUAUUGGAUUAAAAAUAUUGUUAUCAUUGUCUUUAUCACAAUACUUUAGGAGAUGAUGAAUUAUUAGAAAUGAGUAUUCUGAAGAAUCUAUAUAUAUAUAUGCACUGAGCAAAAGAGAAUCUCUCUAUUCAGUUCAGUUCAGUUCAUGUAAAUUACUAAUUUAUAUUCAGUUCAGUUCAUGUAAAUCAAGCUAAAUAUAAAACACUCAUUGUUACAUGAACUUGGUAUAAAACACUCAAAUCAAGCUAAAUAUAAGCAGAAAAUAAAUUAAUCAGAAAAUAAAUUAAUCAGAACUUAGUAUAAAACACUCAAUUCAGAUUACAUGCAUAUUUACAAUAACACAGUUCAGAUUACAUGCAUAGCUUAUAUAAAACAAUUAAACAUAUAUAUACAUUAAGAUGCCCUUCUUCUUUUCCUGGUGACAUUCACAUUUGUUUGUCCAUUUACAAUACGAAACGAUGGAUUAAUCCAAAUUCCCUCAUCAUGAUCAUCUCUAAGAUAUAAACCAUCAUCAGUUGAAUCAAUUUCAUGUGGUUGUUGUGAUGUUGCAAAUAAAAGAUCAUUACCAACAUCUUCAUCAUUAUUGUUAUCAUCACUUAUUUUAUUGGUCGAUAGGACAACAGACCAUUUAUCAUUAGAAGGAUCAGUGACAUAAAACACUUGUUGAGCUUGCGACGCUAAAAUAAAAGGCUCGUCUUUGUAUCCCACCCUAUUAAAAUCGACAAGCAAGAAUCCUGACUCAUCAAUCCGAACGCCAUUAUUAUUAUCGACCCACUUGCAACCAAAUAUGGGAACACGAAACAUUGUGUAGUCUAACUCCCAUAUGCGCUCGAUAACCCCAAAAUAUGAUAGAUUUGCAUAUAUUGGGUUUUUGUCUUUUGCACUUGAGACAUGCAUCGCUUCAGCUACGAGAGUGACUCCACUAUUUUGCAUAGUGGUCUGAUCAUCUUGUUCUUUGGUAUAAAAUGUGUAGCCGUUAAUAACAUAACCAGUGUAAGAAAAGACAUGUAAGCUCGGACCAUUUGCUAGCCACCUCAAUCUAUUUGAAAUUGAUCCGGGGUCUAUAUCAAAUUUUGACAUUAUGUGAUUUUUUAACCAUGUUACAAAACUUCGAUUGUGCUCUCGAGUUAUCCAAUUUUGAUUCCUAUUCAUGUUCAAACGAGAUAACUGAUCAAUGUGUAUUGUAACAUACGGUUGAACCUCAUCAUCAUUGUGCAGAACAUACAAUUGUGCCUGCUCCCAUUCUGUCCUUGAUAUAGUCAGUAGUCUCCUUCCAGUUAUCCCUUCUCCUGAUAGUCUUCCCGAAUGACGAGACAUGGGAAGCCCUAUGGAUUCAACAUUGGACAGAUAUUCAGUACAAAAUUCAGCAGCCUCUUCAACAAUGUAUCGUUCAGCAAUACAACCUUCUGGUCGACUUCUACUUUUUACGUACCCUUUUAAUAUUUUCAUAUAUCGUUCUAUCGGAUACAUCCAUCUCAUAUAAGCUGGCCCACAAAGUUGUGUCUCCUUAACCAGAUGAACAGUAAGGUGAACCAUUAUAUCAAAAAACGAUGGUGGGAAAUACAUUUCAAGCUCACACAAAGUAACAACAAUUUCCCUCUGCAAUGUCGGUAAUUUCUGAGGGUCGAUCACUUUACUACAAAUUUCCCUGAAGAAGAAACAUAAUCUAGUUAAGGCUAGUCGAACUUUUUCAGGUAAAAUGGAACGUAUACCUAUUGGUAGCAAAUGCUCCAUUAUAAUAUGACAAUCAUGGGUCUUCAAACCUUUUAACUUGAGGUCUUUCAUACAAACCAAAUUUUUAAUGUUCGAAGAGUAUCCUUCUGGAACUUUAACUUCGUGUAGAAAUUUACAUAAAACAAUUUUUUCCUUUCUAGAUAGAGUAUGAGCGGCUGGAGGUAGAUAUGUGCGAUUUCCUUUCUUUACUGGAGCCAGUUCAUUUCUUAUUCCCAUAUCGACCAAGUCCAAUCUUGCAUUGACGCCAUCUUUAGACUUUCCUGGAACAUUGAGUAACGUACCAAUAACACUUUCAAAUACAUUUUUUUCAAUAUGCAUCACAUCGAGGAAAUGUCUUACAUACAAUGACUUCCAAUAUGGCAAUUCAAAGAAAAUUGACUUUUUCUUCCACCCAGUUUUCACCAGCUCUCCCGCAAAAGGUUUGCCAAAUUUAUUGGUCAAACCUUGUACUUUUUCAAGUAUUUGAUAUCCAGUCGGUGCUAAAGGAGCUUUACCUUCCUCUGAUUUUCCAUUGAAUGCAUUUCUCCACCCACGAUACUGAUGACUAUAAGGUAAAAAUCUACGAUGUCCAAGAAACACAUUCUUCUUACAAUGUUUCAACCGCAUCCAAUUUGUACUCUCUUCACAUAUAGGACAUGCACACUGACCUUUAAUGCUAUAUCCUGAUAAAUUACCAUAUGCUGGAAAAUCAUUAAUUAUGCCGAACAACAUAACCCUUAAAUUGAAACAUUCUUUCUUAUACCCAUCAUAAACUUCCACACCUGUCUCCCACAUACUUUUUAAAUUUUCGAUUAGAGGAGUCAAGUAUACGUCGAUAUCAUUCCCCGGUUGUUUGGGUCCAGAAAUUAACAGAGACAACAUCAUAAACUUACGCUUCAUACAUAACCAUGGAGGUAGGUUAUAUAUUACCAAAAUCACAGGCCACGUGCUAUGUGAGAUGCUUUGAAGACCAUGUGGAUUCAUUCCAUCAGUAGAAAGUGCAAGUCUUAGAUUUCUUGACUCUAUCCCGAAUUCAGGAUACUCGUGAUCAAUUUUUGCCCAUUGUGGGGAAUCUGCAGGGUGUCGAAACAUUCCAUCUCUAAUUCUUUCAUCUGCAUGCCAUGUCAAGUGUUUUGAAUCUUCUUCACUGCGAUACAUGCGCCUAAAUCUUGGUAUUAUAGGAAAAUACCACACGACUUUUGCUGGAGUAGAUUCUUUCUUCUUAUAUCGAGAGACAUUGCAUUUCGGACACGCCUUAAGUAGUUCAUAUUCGUUUCGAAAUAAAAUGCAAUCGUUAGGACACGCAUGAAUCCUUUCGUAACUCAUUCCAAUAGAACACAAAAUCCGUUUAGCCUCGUAGGUCCGACUGGGAAGUUCAUUAUCAUCUGGCAACAUAUCUUUUAUGAGUGUUAAUAAUUCCGUAAAGCUUUUAUCAGACCAUCCAUUACUCGCUUUUAAGUUGUACAACUUUAAUAUCGCUGACAGUCUUGUGAAUUUAGUACAACCAUUAUAUAAUUCUUUCUCUGCAUCACUCAACAAACUUUCAAACAUUUUAGGACAAUCUCGAAGAUCUUCUUCAACUGCUUUUGCAAUCUCAUCAACUCGGUCCGGCUCAUAUGUAUCUGUAUCGAAAUCAGUUGAAGCAUAUGUAGAACUAUUCUCAAAAUUAAUGUUUCCUUUUUUUUUCUCACCAUGUCUUAUCCAACAUGUGUAGCUUUGAUCAAUUCCAUUACAUACUAGAUGUCCUUCUAAUUCAUCUUCUCUAACACGUUUUCCAAAACAACAUUUUAAACAAGGACAAACUACUCUAUUUGGAUCUUUUGCAUUCUUCACUGCAAACUCAACAAACUCCUUCACUCCAAUUUCAUACUCUUUUGACAAUCGAUUGGCUGAAAUCCAUUUCCUAUCCAUAUUAUACCACCUAUAUAAAUGCAGUAACAAAAAUAAUAAGCUUUCAAAACAUAUCAACAAGUUUCAAAAAGAAACCAAUAUCAACUAACAAUUUCAAAACAGAACAGAUCAUGUGGUAUGAGUUUUUGACAAUUUUUGACAAUUUCAAAACAUAACAGAUCAUGUGUAAAAAAUACCUUAGACAACGUAGAUGGCCGCACAGUACGUAGAGGAUAUUAGGGUUCGCAACGUAUAUAAUUAUUUGAAAGAUGUAGAGGAUAUGAGGGUUUCCAACGUAUAUAAUUAUUUUAAAGAUGUAUUUUACAGCGCUUGUGAAAAACGCGCUGUAAUAGGUAGUUAAAUUCAAUGAAAGCGCAUGUGUUUUACAGCGCUUGUGAAAAACGCGCUGUAAUAGGUAGUUAAAUUCAAUGAAAGCGCAUGUGUUUUACAGCGCUUGUGAAAAACGCGCUGUAAUAGGUAGUUAAAUUCAAUGAAAGCGCAUGUGUUUUACAGCGCUUGUGAAAAAAGCGUUGUAAUAGGUAGUUAAAUUCAAUGUAAGCGCAUGUGUUUUACAGCGCUUGUGAAAAAAGCGUUGUAAUAGGUAGUUAAAUUCAAUGUAAGCGCAUGUGUUUUACAGCGCUUGUGAAAAAAGCGCUGUAAUAGGUAGUUAAAUUCAAUGAAAGCGCAUGUGUUUUACAGCGCUUGUGAAAAAAGCGUUGUAAUAGGUAGUUAAAUUCAAUGAAAGCGCAUGUGUUUUACAGCGCUUGUGAAAAAAGCGCUGUAAUAGGUAGUUAAAUUCAAUGAAAGCGCAUGUAUUUUACAACGCUUGUGAAAAAAGCGAUGUAACUGAUACGCGAAAGCGCUUCCUUUUACAGCGCUUUUUUGACAAGCGCUGUAAAAGCCUUAUAACGUGAUGCGCAAACGUUAUAUGACCUACUACAACGCUUGUUUUACAGCGCUUUGAAUCAAAAGCGCUGUAAUAGGUUCCGUUAUUUUUAAAAUAUAAUUACAACAGCGCUUGUGUUUAGCAAGCACUGUAAAAUGGGCGCUGUUAAAUGUCAUUUUUGGCGUAGUGAAUAUAGCAAAGUGGAAGCAAAAGCAAGACAUCAAAAAAACCUUUAAAUACAUAAAGUUAGGAGAUUGUUUAUAUAACCUUUCGAAAUGGGUCUUAUUAUGUAAACAGGAGGUAGUUCACCUGUUAAUAAGAGAAACAACGUGAUUAAUAGCAAAAGACAAAAAAUUCUUUGGUAGUUUAGAGUGGAAAAUAAGUGAUCUAGUCACAUUAAGAAGAUGAGGAUGUUUCCUUUCAACAAUUAAGUUUUCUUGGGGUGUAUCAACACAAGAGGUUUGAUGCAAUAUGCUCAAACUAGAAUAAAAAAGAGGCAUAUUGAAUUCAAGACCAUUAUCAUUGCUGAUUUUCUAGACUUUUGUAUUGAAUUGUAUUUUAACAAAGGAAACAAAGUUUUGAAGGAGCAUAUGAGUUUCAGAUUUAGCAUUCAUUAAAAAUAACCAAGAAAAUCAUGAAUAAUCGUCAACAAUAGUUGGAUAAUAUUGAUGACCAUCAAAAGAAGGAACAUUAAUAGGUCCUCAAAUAUCAACAUGUAUAAGGCUAAAAAUAUGUAAAGAAACAUUUUCACUACGCGGAAAAGGGAUUUUAGCAUUUUAUGCCCAAAUAAAAAGAGUCACAAAUCAUAUUUUUAUUAACUGAAAUGUAAUAAAAUCGUUUACACAUUUGUUGUAACAGGGUUAUUGAUGGAUGACCUAACCUAAAAUGUCAAACAUCAAAUUUAUUUGGUAUAGUGGCAUUAACAAAGGUAGUAUAAUGGUGAUUAGAAACAGGAGCAAAUUCAGUAGAAAAAACCAUAGCAGAGAUAUAAUAUGAUCAAGAAUAUAAAGGCUAUUACAAUGCUCCACAUGUCCUAUCGUCUUAUGGGUAUGCAAAUCCUGAAUUGUAUAAAAAUUCUUAGAAAAUAAUAGUUUGUAAUCCAAAUCAAGAGUGAGUUUUGAAAUAGAUAUUAAACUAAAAUUGAAUUGAUGAAUAAACAACCUAUUUUUCAAGUAAAGAUCAGAAGUAAAGUAAAAAUGUCCUAAAAAAUGCGUAAGAAUAUACGACCCAUUUGGAAAAAUAAUAAAAAUUGGUUCAAUUUGUUUCAUUGAAUAAAAACAUUUGAUAAAUGGACAAACAUGAUCUGAAGCCCCCGAAUCCAUAAUCCAUAGAGAAAAAGGAUUAGAUACGAAACCUGUAUUAGAAAUACUUGAUACUACGUGAUUGGAUUAAUCUGAAAUAGAAUUCUUGGUUUCGAAAGAAGUUACAUCAACAUAUUUAGAAUUAUGUAGCAGAUUAAUCAAAAUAUUAUAAUAUGUUUUGCUAAGAUGAUUGUUGAUUGUUGGAAUCGUGUUGCUGUGUAGGCUAGGAGAGAGAAGGAUUCUUAGAACCAUUUAUUGAAGACGAAUUCAAAGAUUGUUAUUUACGAUAUCAUAGUGGAAAGCCAUGUUUGAAAUAACAUGUGUCUACAAUGUGAUUAUUCUUAUGACAUCGAGUAUAAAACAUGGAGGGCCGAGGCUGACCACGACGAUGAUGGUAUUGCCUGCGACCUUGACCUGAAUUUUUGGAAGUAUUGAUAUUAAAAACAACAUAAGUAUCAGGAGGAUUAUGGUUUGAAUUGGGGACAAGGUCUUAUUGAAAAACGAAAGAAUGCACCUUGUUAAUAUAAGGUAAAGGAUCCAUGAAUAAAAUCUGUGUGUGAAUGUUAUUGUAAUUUUUAUUCAAACCUUUAAGAAAACAAGUGAUAUACUCUUGAUGCUUGAAAUAAUGAACUGUUGUGUUGAGCUUGCAAGAACGAGGAAUAGGGCAUAUGCAUGAUUGUGUUGGGCACAAAUCCUCCAAUUCACCCCAAAGAAUCUUCACAUUGGUGAAAUAGGUAGACAAAGAAUGUUCACCUUGUUUGAUUGAAUGAAGAUCACGAAUUAGAUUGGAAAAUCGAAAAUUAUUUCCUUGAAUGAAACGAUCACGAAGAUCAUACCAUAACUCUAAUGCUGAAUCAAUGCAAAUGGAGAACGUUAAAAACUCAAUAUUGAUUUUGAUUGUGAAAACGGAGAACAUCCUUGGUUCUGGAAACAGAAAAUGGAGAACAUUCUAGGUUAAUUAAAAUCAAUAGUUUAGUUUAUAUGUUUAACUUGAUAAACAAAAGGAUUGAAAGUAAAUAGAGAUAAGAAGAUAGAUGUCACAUAAUGAUAUAUCUUAGUUCACCUAACUCAGGCUAUGUUCAGUGUAACACCCCGUUUUUCAAAGCGAGGGUAUUUUUUUUUUUUAAAAGUAAUUAAAAACGAACGAAGAAAUAAAUCAGGAAAUGCUUUUGGAUAAAUAAUUGAGUCAUUAUAAUUUACGCAGCGGAAAAGUUUCUCCAAUUAUAAAUCCAAAACAUUUUUACAUAAACAUCAAAUGGUACAUGGAACCCAUUCAAAGAUGAUAUCAAACUGAUAAUAUUUAUAUAAGUACAGUUUUCCAAAACUAAAAUACUCCAAACCAAAGAGAAGGACCCCUAGUCCCUAUACAUCAUCCUAAUCUGAUCAUCCUACCAAAAACUAUACACCCUGAGUAAUCUCCACGCGCCCCGUGAGAUCCUCCUAACACAACCGCAGUCAAGCAUUCCCAUCUCCAUCCCUGUCCGUAGGGUACGAACCAGUAGGGCCGUCCUGACUCUCAUCUGAGGGCAAAGCCCAGAUUUCCACAAUAGUGUAAAGGGUCACCAACCAGAAAAUAACAGAUAACACAUAGCAAUUAAGUUUUUGAAUGCUCAAAACAACUUUUCAACUAAGCAUGCACCUUAACAGGAUUUUCAAUGUGCGAAAAGUUCAUACAUUACAUUGCCAAUGAAAAUGAAGGUAAAAUGCAGUUCUCGAUCUCCUAAUUAACACAUGAUAAAACAAGACAUGGAUAGAUUCAUGAGCAAUAAAUCAUACAACUAAAACUGAGGAUUUUCACUGAGCCAAUCGAUUGGGCAAUCGAUUGGGGUGAAGAUUUUUAAUGAAAACAGAAUCCUGGGCUGAAUUCAAUCGAUUGGUAAAUCGAUUGAUUGGUUCCCACAACUUAACACUUAGCAAUUCCUACGCGAUUACUACGACACACGAAGGUUCGAUAACCAUCAUACUCACACACAAUACACAACACAUAGCACUUAACACCUUCAUCUCAGUUAUCACGAUAAAUCAAAAUUCGAAUCACUCAAUCAUAAACUCAAAUCAAACAUGACUCGCGUGCCAGGCACCCUAAUGCAAUGCGUAUAUGCCAAAAUGCAUGGACUCGGAAUUCCAAACCAAAACCCUCCUCGAAGGGCCGUAAAUCAUAAUUGUACCGCCUAUCGCAGGCCAAAGUACCAAUUACCGAGGUGCCACCUAUCACGGGUCAGCACGAUUUACUAAAAUGCGUAAAUCAUAAACGUACCACCUAUCACGGGUCAGUACAGUUACCAUGGUGUCACCUAUCACGGGUCAACUCGAUUUUCUAAAUAGUAACUCGUAAACGUACCACCUAUCACGGGUCAGUACAGUUUACCGAGGUGUCACCUAUCACGGGUCAACACGAUUUACUAAAAGAAAAAGCGGGAAUCGUAAACGUACCGCCUAUCACAGACCAGUACUGUUUACCUAGGUGCCACCUAUCACGGGUCAGCACAAUUCACCAAAAAUGUAAAUCGUAAAUGUACCACCUAUCACGGGUCAGUACAGUUACCAUGGUGUCACCUAUCACGGGUCAACACGAUUUACUAAAAGAAAAAGCGGGAAUCGUAAACGUACCGCCUAUCACAGACCAGUACUGUUUACCUAGGUGCCACCUAUCACGGGUCAGCACAAUUCACCAAAAAUGUAAAUCGUAAAUGUACCACCUAUCACGGGUCAGUACAGUUACCAUGGUGUCACCUAUCACGGGUCAACACGAUUUACUAAAAUGUAAAUCGCAAACGUACAACCUAUCACGGGUCCGUACAGUUUACCAAGGUGUCACCUAUCACGGGUCGACACAAUUUACCAAAUGAAAUGCAUGAGCAUACACAGACUCCAUUCACAACAAUCGUUAAGCAAAUGCAGAUAUUAAAAGAUUCCCCAUUUUUAAUACCCAUUUAACUUAAACGACUUUCAAACAACAUUAAUUAAAUAAGUCAUUAAGAGAUUCCCCGUUCUUAAUACCGAUUUAACUUAAUGAUUUUCAAAACAAAACGUUAAGCAAACAGUCAUAUUAAGAGAUUCCCCAUUCUUAAUACUCAUUUACCGAAACGAUUUUCAAAAACGAUAGUUAAGUAACCGAGACAUUAAGAGAUUCCCCAUUCUCAACGCCCAGUUAACUUAAACAUUUUCCUCAAAUACACAUUAAGUAAACCGAGGUAUUAAAAGAUUCCCCAUUUUUAAUACUCGUUUAACUCUAAUGGUUUUCAAAUUCCACAGAAACAAAUUCAAACAUACUUUCACAUUCAAACCAUAAUUCACAACAACCACACCAAUUAACAAACAUCAAGUACGAACACACCAAAUACAACGAACACAAAUCACGCAACAUAACACCCAGAUACAUCAAAUUUCAUUUACCCAUAAUCAUACACAAUGACAUUCAAAUUCAUUUACCACGAAACAUUCAUCACUAUAAACAAAACCUAACUCUAAGGUUUUUACCCAUAACGCACUAGUUUCGUUUUUCCCCAAAUCGAUACAUUUAACCCUAACAAAUUCCUUCCCACACAACUACAGAUAAGUCCCUAAUGCAAGCUAGAAGUUUGGAAGGAGCCCUUACCUCAACGUUAGCUUUAUCGUGCGUUUCCGGUACCGCGAGAAAUUCCGGUAAAAUCUCCGCUCGCAACGCCGCUUCCAAAUUAGUUCACUAGCACCGUAGCGUGGUGGUGAGCAACUUUCCCUUCUAUCUCUUCGAGAAAUGAGGUUUGGAUCUAGGAGAAACGGAGGGGUUUGUGUUUGGAUCUCAAAACCGUUUUUCUUCGUUUUCGAAUCAAAGAGGAAGAGUGGAGUUGCGAAAACCUUGAUCUAACUCACACCCGACCUUGGGUCACUAGCUUUGAAGAAAAGGAAGCAACGAAAACGAAAAAUGGAGAAGGAUGGAUUUUUGGUUUUUCACGUGAGAUGUUCAGAGGAAGGAGAUGGAAUUCGAGAUUUUCCUUCCUUUCUAUUUCUUUCCUUUGUUUUUCCUUUCUUCCUUUUUCCUUCCUUCCUUUAUAUACUAUUUUCUUUUCCUUUUCCUUCCUUCUAGUUUUCCUUUCUUUUUCCCCCCAAACAAACAUAUAUAAAUAUAAUAAAUAUAACUUAACAAAUAUCUCAAAAUCUAGAUAUUUAUUAAAUUACCGUUUCACCCGAAACGCCUUAAAUUCUUCGUAAAGGAUUUUCCGCAGUUAAAUUCAAUUUAUUUAUCGACGAGAAAUUCUAAUUGGCAUCGAAAUAUCUUUUUGAUUAGAAAACUCCAAAAUAUUAUUAACUUUGGCUUAAAAGCCUCCGAGCCAAAAUCCAAAAUAUACCAAAAAUACAUAAAAGGGUACUUUAAAAUUAUGGGUCUUACAUUCAGUCCUUACAAUUGUGAUAUUUUCCACAAAGCGUUCAAAUGGAGAAAAUUCUUGGUUUUACACAGUUUUGUUCAGAUUAACCUUGAUAUGUAACAACAAUUCAUUUCCACUUAGAAAUGAUUCAAUUAGGUCACUUAUCAAUCUUUAGAGAGGAUUUUACAAUUCACCUUUUAUCCAUAAAAAUGAUUUUCUACAAACUAUAAACAACUAUUAUAGUCUUGAGUUUACAAUAAUGAUUUAAAGAGAUUGGUAGAAUCUGAGUAUGUUCAAAUCGUGUUUGAGAAUACAUUCUUGAUAAAAGAAAUACAUAUAACGGUUCUGAUAUUUUAAAAAGAAAACAUAAUUGAAUCUUUUGUUUAUGAUUGAGAAGUUUUCAAGUAUAUAAGUGUAUGUAAGUGAUGGAUUUCUUAACACUUGAAGUUCUAUUUUUCCUUGAACUUGAGGUUCUUUUUAUAGGCUUCAAGGAGGAUGAUGACAACUACUUUGAUCUUUGGAAAAUAUCCAGCUGUCAUGUGUCAAAUUUGACAAAAUUCGAUAACUUUUAAACCAUGAAUGUUUCUUGACUAGCUUCUCAUUCUUGACCGUGAUUUAUGGUCCUUUAUGCUCAUAGACAUCUCAAAGAUGUGUUCAAUGUAUUCAGAUCGAGAAUGUCUUUGAUUCGAUCAAAACAAGCUAGAGAAGGAUGUACACAUGUUGGAGAUUGAUUGUAAAUAUGCUGGAAAAUGAUGUUAUUUGUAACAUCCCGCUUUUUCGAGACAUUAACUUACAAAAUUCUAAAUGUAAAAAUACAAAUUCAUUUUUAUUUAUUUAUGAUUAUCUUAAAUACCCAUUUACCUUAAUAUCAAUUAAUAAUAUUUUUAGUUAUAUUUUCAAAAAUAAUGAAUCAAAGUAUUUACAAUCACUAAAAGUAAAUUUAAUACGUUAAACAAAAGAAACUCAUAGAGCCAAAACUAUUGAUGUUUUACUACUCAAACAUAAAUCCUAGUUGGUAAUAAACUUUGGAGUUGUGGAAAACUCACCCAAUAAAUCUAACACCCCACAAAAGUACCUCAAAACCUCCAACUAUAUACUUCCUCGCAUUUCUCCUAUUAGGUUGACUAUAAGCUCAAGUAACACUAUAUGUGACGUCGUGUCAAAUGUAAGGGUCAUCUCUAAAAUAUUUUACCAAUAAAUAAAUAACAAUCAAAAUAAAACAGUACAUUACCUACUCAGCCAACAAAAAGGUACAAUAACAAUGAAAAUAUAACAGUACAAUGUUUACAUAAUUAAUAACAUUAAUUCACUCAAACGACCACCUACAGUGACGAUACGAAUAUAACAUUACGAUAUCUACAUAAUUAAUAACAUUAAUUCAUUCAUCCAAACGACUACGAGGUACAAUAACAAUAAAAAUAUAACAGUACGGUUAUAUUUUAUAAAAAUGAAGUGAUUAAUUUUAUAAAAAUGUCAUAGAUAAAUUAUUAGGAGUGCAACAAGACAAUCAAUAUCACCAAAUGAAUGUGUUAUUAUUUUAAUUUUCAAUGAAAAAUUAAUUGUUGUUUUUUAAGUUUAUUUUUUAAUUAAUAUAAUAUACCUUAUUCUUAAGUUACAAUGAGAAAAUAAUGUUACAAUGAGAAAAUAAUAUCUAAUGGUUGGGUGAUGAGUACUAAAUGACAAAAACUAAUUUUUUUGCCUAAAACAAACAUGACAAUUUUAGUGAUAAAAAUUAAUGUAGCGAGUUGAACAAAAUAAUAUGACAUGUAACAUUGUAAUCAAAAGGCAAGUUUAAGUGAAAGAUGGUUCAUCAUAUAUAAGUAGACCAUACUUUAUUUAACAUAGUAAGUGGGAAACAAAACAAUUCAUAGAUGCAUGUUUCUAGUUUUCAUGGAGAUUCCAUGUUUCCAUGUCCUCUUUUCCUACCUUUGUCUCCGUUAUCGGGGUUUCCUCGAUUGUCGUCUUCUUCAACGGGUGGCUCACUAUUGCCGUAUCCCAUGCCACCGCCACCAUAGUUGUAUGCCAUGCCCUGUACCCAUUCUGAUGCCCAACCCAAUGCCAAAUCUCUCAAAGUUCUCCAAUCUACAAACCUUCUUAUUAAAGUACUAUAUUCGGUUUCCUCAGCUGUCACAAUAGUCAUAAGAAGGGGAACACACAGAAAGAAUACUAAGAUAAAAAAUUUUGUUUUCAUCCUUGCUUAAAUUUCCUAAAGUUUGUUGUAAAAUAUGAAUAAUAUCCUCAAAUAUUUAUAGUGGUCACGCAUAGAAAAAAUAAGAUAAUUUUAAAAGACA
rnacentral:lncRNA from 1 species